GUGAGACCCUGUCGGCCCCACAAAUACUAAAAGUGGAGCAAUACAGAGAAGAUUAGCGUGGCCCCUGCGCAAGGAUGACACGCAAAUUCGUGAAGUGUUCCGUAUUUAA
ensembl:snRNA U6 U6 spliceosomal RNA